rnacentral:snRNA from 1 species
GUGCUCACUUUGGCAGCACAUAUACUAAAAUUGGAACGAUACAGAGAAGAUUAGCGUGGCCCCUGCACAAGGAUGACAUGCAAAUUCGUGAAGCGUUCUAUAUUUUC